AACGAUUAAGCACCUUCGGGUGUGUAUAAAGUGGCGAACGGCUGAGUAACACGUGGGCAACCUGCCCCUCUCAUUGGGAUAGCCACGGGAAACCGUGGAUAAUACCGAAUACUUCGAGACUUCCGCAUGGAAGACUCGAGAAAGCUCCGGCGGAGAGGGAUGGGCCCGCGGCCUGUUAGCUUGUUGGUGGGGUAACGGCCUACCAAGGCAAUGAUGGGUAGCUGGGUUGAGAGACCGACCAGCCAGAUUGGGACUGAGACACGGCCCAGACUCCUACGGGAGGCAGCAGUGGGGAAUCUUGCACAAUGGGCGAAAGCCUGAUGCAGCGACGCCGCGUGCGGGAUGAAGGCCUUCGGGUUGUAAACCGCUUUCAGCAGGGACGAGGCGAAAGUGACGGUACCUGCAGAAGAAGCCCCGGCUAACUACGUGCCAGCAGCCGCGGUAAUACGUAGGGGGCAAGCGUUAUCCGGAUUCAUUGGGCGUAAAGCGCUCGUAGGCGGUCUGUUAGGUCGGGAGUUAAAUCCGGGGGCUCAACCCCCGUUCGCUCCCGAUACCGGCAGACUUGAGUUUGGUAGGGGAAGAUGGAAUUCCUAGUGUAGCGGUGGAAUGCGCAGAUAUUAGGAAGAACACCAGUGGCGAAGGCGGCCUUCUGGGCCAUAACUGACGCUGAGGAGCGAAAGCUAGGGGAGCAAACAGGAUUAGAUACCCUGGUAGUCCUAGCCGUAAACGAUGGACACUAGGUGUGGGGGAAUAUUUCUUCCGUGCCGCAGCUAACGCAUUAAGUGUCC
rnacentral:rRNA from 1 species